UACAGAGGGGGCAAGCGUUGUUCGGAAUUACUGGGCGUAAAGGGCGCGUAGGCGGCCUGCUAAGUCGAACGUGAAAUCCCUGGGCUCAACCCAGGAACUGCGUCCGAUACUGGUUGGCUUGAAUCCGGGAGAGGGGUGCGGAAUUCCAGGUGUAGCGGUGAAAUGCGUAGAUAUCUGGAGGAACACCGGUGGCGAAGGCGGCAUCCUGGACUACUACUGACGCUGAGGAGCGAAAGCUAGGGGAGCAAACGGG
rnacentral:rRNA from 1 species